UACGGGGGGGGCAAGCGUUGUUCGGAAUUACUGGGCGUAAAGGGCUCGUAGGCGGCCAACUAAGUCGGACGUGAAAUCCCCAGGCUCAACCUGGGAACUGCGUCCGAUACUGGAUGGCUUGAAUUCGGGAGAGGGAUGCAGAAUUCCAGGUGUAGCGGUGAAAUGCGUAGAUAUCUGGAGGAACACCGGUGGCGAAGGCGGCAUCCUGGACCGGCAUUGACGCUGAGGCGCGGAAAGCUAGGGGAGCAAACGGGG
rnacentral:rRNA from 1 species